rnacentral:rRNA from 1 species
GUUUGUUUGAGACUGAAUACACCUGCUCUCAUCUGAUCUGCAAAGCUAAGCAGGGUUGGGCCUGGUUAGUAUUUGGAUGGGAGACUACCUGGGAAUACCAGGUGCUGUAAGCU